GUGCAGCGAGGCUAUAUUGCGCGUUGCUGCCCAGGAAGACCCUCGGAGGAGAGGCAAAGAAGGGAGUCCCCUCCCGCGGCGCAGCGGGCGGCUUCGCGUACCUGGAGAGAGAGUCCAUGCUGGGCUGCCGGGUGGCCGAAGCCUGCUUGGCGGACGCCAGGCUCUCGCAGCUGGAGCUCUUCUCCAUGGCCAGCGGAGGGUCGGGGCCAGACGCCGAAAAGCCGCAGAGGAGCGCAGCCCCACAAGCGCCCGCUGAGGGCUGUCAAAGGAGUGGGGAGCCGAGAGUGGGGCAGGAAGCUGCCAUGUUAGCCCACAGUGCAGUGCGCUGCUGCGAUGAGGAUGAUCGAGGAGGAGGAGGAAUCACCUCCCCAAAGCAUGACUGAACAAGUAUCUUCCUCCCCUGUCUGCAAACAACAUGGCUGAGGGAGCUAAAGGAACCACCUGCAGAAGCGUGUUCCAGAGCUCUGGAGCUACCACCAGAAAGACCCUGCUUUUUGUAGACCCCAACUGAGCAUCAGCAAAGGAUGGUGUUUGAAUCAGAAUCUCAUCAGCUGGUCUCAGCUUUCAAGGAGGGCCAGUCCCCACCAUGCAUUUCAAUGAAGGAUGCAUAACUGAAUUCACAUUGGACUGUUUCUUUUAUCCUCGCCCUAAACUAUAUUUGGUAUGUUCAGGUUGAGACAUCGACGUCUUCUCCAAGGCCACCCAGGGAGCAAAAUAGCUAAACUCAGUUUCAUAUGUUCAAAAACCAGAGUGCACCAUCUUUCUCUGAAUAAAUAAUGGAAUAUCUUUAAUGAUGAAUUGAGCAGAUGGAGCCAUUCACAGCAGUGUUUUGGCUUGCUUGGGGCAUAUAGUACUCCAUAAAUUAUAUUCCUCUGCACAACGAAUGUACAGAAUUCUGAGUCAAAAAAUGUGAUCUUGGGCCAAAGAUCACACACAUUGAUGAAGGAGAGGUCUCUCAAUGGAUACUAGUCAGGAUCCCUAAGAAUAAAACCUCCAUAUCCAGAAGCAGAAUACCUCUGAUUACUGGAUGCUGUUGGCAACAACGACCAUGCCUUGCUUGUAAGCUUCCAAGGUGUGUUUGCGUGGUUACUGUUGAAGACAGAUUGCUGAGCCCGUUGGACUUCUGCUUUUCUCUGGUGAGUAUUAUGCUUCCUAGAGAUUAAAUAAUUCUUUCCUCUGUGGUGGACAGAAAGAAGCAUCUUGGGAAAGGUUAGCACAAGAUCUGUUGUGGGACAGUGCACACGACAGUGCACACGAUCAGGUCGGGAAUAGGGGUAUCUUUCUUCAAGGAGAGAAAUCCAUGCUUCUGUGCCCUCCUAAUUUUAAAUGCAUGGAGGGUUAAUUUCUUAAAAGUGGCUUUCUUAAAAUGAAAUAACUUACUGUAUGAACAAGGUCUGUGUUGAUAGCUGUCUGGAAACUUGCAUCCAAAGCUAACAAGGGAACAACAGUGGUUAUAUCUUACAUUACUUGUCUUGGCACACAUAAAAAUAAACCAGAGUGUUAGUCUU